rnacentral:rRNA from 1 species
UGACUGAGUGGCGGACGGGUGAGUAACGCGUGAGCAACCUGCCCUUCGGAGGGGGAUAGUGUCUGGAAACGGACAGUAAUACCGCAUAACGUAUUUUUACCGCAUGAUAGAAAUACCAAAACUGAGGUGCCGAAGGAUGGGCUCGCGUUGGAUUAGAUAGUUGGUGGGGUAACGGCCCACCAAGGCGACGAUGCGUAGGGGUUCUGAGAGGAAGGUCCCCCACACUGGUACUGAGACACGGACCAGACUCCUACGGGAGGCAGCAG